GACGAACGCUGGCGGCGCGCCUAAAACAUGCAAGUCGAACGAGAAACCCGGGCUUGCCCGGGUGGACAGUGGCGAACGGGUGAGUAACACGUGAGGAACCUGCCCCGAAGACCGGGAUAACACCGGGAAACCGGUGCUAAUACCGGAUGCCUUCACCGGAUCGCAUGGUCUGGUGAAGAAAUGGAUUCCGCUUCGGGAUGGCCUCGCGUCCUAUCAGCUUGUUGGUGAGGUAACGGCGCACCAAGGCGACGACGGGUAGCUGGUCUGAGAGGAUGUCCAGCCACACUGGGACUGAGACACGGCCCAGACUCCUACGGGAGGCAGCAGUUAGGAAUCUUGCGCAAUGGACGAAAGUCUGACGCAGCGACGCCGCGUGCGGGAUGAAGGCCUUCGGGUUGUAAACCGCUUUCAGCAGGGACGAAAUUGACGGUACCUGCAGAAGAAGCCCCGGCCAACUACGUGCCAGCCGCCGCGGUAA
rnacentral:rRNA from 1 species